rnacentral:rRNA from 1 species
ACGUCGACACCUACAGGAGGCAGCAGUGGGGAAUAUUGCACAAUGGGGGAAACCCUGAUGCAGCGACGCCGCGUGGAGGAAGAAGGUCUUCGGAUUGUAAACUCCUGUUGUUGGGGAAAAAGAGGAUGGUACCCAACAAGGAAGUGACGGCUAACUACGUGCUAGCAGCCGCGGUAAUCUGAGCGGGCUGGCAAGGC